AUUGCAAAUCGUUCUAUCGCUGUUUCAUUUUUAUGAGAGAGAGGAAAGUCCGGGCAGCACAGAGUAUCCUACCUAGUGAAAGCUAGGGUAUUGUUUCAGGAACGGAACAGUAACAGAAAGUGCCACAGAAAAUAGACUACCUCAAUUUAUUGAGGAAAAGGUGAAAAGGUGAGGUAAGAGCUCACCAGUUACAAAAGUAAUUUUGUAAGCUAGGCAAACCUUAGGAGCUGAAAAAUCAAAUAAACCAAGGCUUGAGGGUUACUCGCCUAAUCUUGGAGGGUAGAUUGUUAGUGCGUGGAGGCAACUCCCCGACUAGAUAAAUGAUAGAAACCUCAACCAAUGUAUUGGUUAAAGGUACAGAACCUGGCUUAUAGAUUUGCUUUUUUU
rnacentral:RNase_P_RNA from 1 species